rnacentral:rRNA from 1 species
GAUGAACGCUGGCGGCGUGCUUAACACAUGCAAGUCGAACGUGAUCCAUUAGCAAUAGUGGUGAAAGUGGCGAACGGGUGAGUAACACGUAGAUAACCUACCCUGAAGCGGGGGAUAACGAUUGGAAACGGUCGCUAAUACCGCAUGAGCCUAUUGAAGCGGGAGUGAGAUAGGGAAAUUCAGGUGCUUUAGGCGGGGUCUGCGUCCGAUUAGCUAGUUGGUGAGGUAACGGCUCACCAAGGCGACGAUCGGUAGCUGGUCUGAGAGGACGAUCAGCCACACGGGAACUGAGACACGGUCCCGACUCCUACGGGGGGCAGCAGUGAGGAAUAUUGGGCAAUGGGCGGAAGCCUGACCCAGCAACGCCGCGUGGAGGAUGAAGGCCUUCGGGUCGUAAACUCCUUUUGACGGGGAAGAGGAAGGACGGUACCCGUCGAAUAAGUCACGGCUAACUACGUGCCAGCAGCCGCGGUAAU